GUUAUGGAUUUCAGUUUAUGGGGGGUAGUAUGGGAUCCGUAGUAGGUGAAAAAAUCACACGUUUGGCUGAGUAUGCUACCAAUAAACUUUUACCUCUUAUUCUAGUGUGUGCUUCCGGAGGAGCCCGCAUGCAAGAAGGAAGUUUGAGCUUAAUGCAAAUGGCUAAAAAUAUCUUCCGUUUUAUAUGAUUAUCAAUCAAAUAAAAAAUUAUUUUAUGUCGCAGUUCUUACAUCCCCCUACCACGGGUGGGGUGACGGCUAGUUUUGGUAUGUUGGGAGAUAUCAUUAUUGCUGAACCCAACGCUUACAUUGCAUUUGCAGGUAAAAGAGUAAUUGAACAAACAUUGAAUAAGACAGUUACCCGAGGAUUCACAAGUGGCUGAAUAUUUAUUCCAUAAGGGCUUAUUCGAUCCAAUCGUACCACGUAAUCCUUUAAAGGACGUUCUGAGUGAAUUAUUUCGACUACAUGCUUUCUUCCUUUGGAUCAAACUUAGAUUAAAUAGAGUCUGUAGAGUAUAGUCUUAAUUUUAAAUUUAUUUUUAAAUUUAAAUUAAUAAAUAAAACAGAAUAAAUUUUUUGAAAUGAAAAUUAUUAAAUUAUAAGACAAGUUAUAAGACAAGAGCACGACAAUAACUAAUAAUAUGAAUAAUAAAAAGGUGGAUUAUCAUACAUAUAUAUUUCGUGUAGAAACGUGUAGAAAGGUGAAUAAGUCCGUUUAUUUACAUAUUUUUUAGUUACUACAUUUUUUUAUUGAAUACUUAUAAAAAAAAAUUCAAUAAAACA